GUCGAGGGGCAGCGGGGUAGUGCUUGCACUACUGCCGGCGACCGGCGCACGGGUGAGUAACACGUAUGGAACCUGCCCGCAGCAGGGGGAUAAGCGGAAGAAAUUCCGUCUAAUACCGCGUAACAACGUUGGGAGGCAUCUCCCGAUGUUUAAAGAUUUAUCGGCUGCGGAUGGCCAUGCGGCGCAUUAGCUAGUCGGCGGGGUAACGGCCCACCGAGGCGACGAUGCGUAGGGGUUCUGAGAGGAAGGUCCCCCACACUGGUACUGAGACACGGACCAGACUCCUACGGGAGGCAGCAGUGAGGAAUAUUGGUCAAUGGCCGAGAGGCUGAACCAGCCAAGUCGCGUGAGGGAAGACGGCCCUACGGGUUGUAAACCUCUUUUGUCGGGGAGCAGAGCGAACCACGUGUGGUUCAUUGAGAGUACCCGAAGAAAAAGCAUCGGCUAACUCCGUGCCAGCAGCCGCGGU
rnacentral:rRNA from 1 species